rnacentral:rRNA from 1 species
GACAGAGGGGGCAAGCGUUGCUCGGAAUCACUGGGCGUAAAGGGCGCGUAGGCGGGGUGGCAAGUCGGUCGUGAAAUCUCUCGGCUCAACCGAGAAACGUCGGCCGAUACUGCCGUUCUUGAGGGAUGCAGAGGAGACUGGAAUUCCCGGUGUAGCGGUGAAAUGUGUAGAGAUCGGGAGGAACACCGGUGGCGAAGGCGGGUCUCUGGGCCGAUACUGACGCUGAGGAGCGAAAGCGUGGGGAGCGAACAGG